UACGUAGGGGGCAAGCGUUGUUCGGAAUUACUGGGCGUAAAGGGCGCGUAGGCGGCACAGCAAGUCGGGUGUGAAAUCUCGGGGCUUAACUCCGAAACUGCAUUCGAUACUGCCGUGCUUGAGGACUGGAGAGGAGACUGGAAUUUACGGUGUAGCGGUGAAAUGCGUAGAUAUCGUAAGGAAGACCAGUGGCGAAGGCGGGUCUCUGGACAGUUCCUGACGCUGAGGCACGAAGGCCAGGGGAGCAAACGGG
rnacentral:rRNA from 1 species